GGUCCCGUAGUGUAGCGGUUAUCACGUCGCCCUGUCACGGCGAAGAUCGCGGUUCGAUCCCGUCGGGACCG
rnacentral:tRNA from 1 species